AAAUUAUUGCUCGAAGCAAGCACAAGAGCACACUCCUGAUGCUUCUAUGGAAACUAAUGUUGAAGCAGCACAACAUCACACUCCAUCUAAAAGAAAGAGAGAUGCUAAUGCAACCGAGGAGGUAAAUGUAGAAGAUGAUGAACCUAUAGCCAAUUAUAAAAGACAGAAGACGCCAACAAAGAAGAAGACGCCAAC